rnacentral:lncRNA from 1 species
AAUUUUAGUUCUCUUCUGAAGCAGAGUUGGCAGCAAGUAUCUGGCAGGGCUCAGGAGACUAACCACUCCUCAGCCCUUGUACACUGAUGCCCUUCCAGCUAUUGGGAGGGUUUGUGACGUGGAAGGCAGGUGAGCUGCUGACCCUCCAUUGCUGUGCAGGCUUUGAGUUCAAUAUACUCCUCUCUCCCUCAUUAGAACCAGGGGAAUCAUGAGCUGGAGAAAGCAUAGCACGGGGCAAGCCUCUGCUGCUCUCUGAAACCUGGCUUCUCUCCCAGCCCCUUCGCCAGCGGUGAUAAAUUCUACACCUGCACUUUGGUACCAGUCUGUCUGCCUGGCAGAGGAUGGAGAGUCUGCUGAGCAGGGAUCACAGCCUAUGGUCCACUAUGCACAGCUGAGAUGGAUGUACCUAUGGAUUGCUCCUUGAUGUUGCGGUUCUUUCUGAAUCUAGCAAGGUGUGAGUGGGUGUGGGGAGACCCUCUCUACCUAUAGAGUCUGCUGUCAUUGCUUCUUGAGAGACAGCCCACUCUACUGAGUGAACGAGGAGAGACGUGGAAGGGAGGAGAAAAAAGAGACAAGACGGAGAAACAGCAGAGGAUGGUGAUGAUUCUUCCAGCUAUAGCCGGUAACUCUUCAUGGUCAGCCACCACCCAUGGUGUCUUGGUGCCUAAUCAACAAAACUCCAAGCAGGAAGGUCUGCAGGUCUCCCUGCCACCUGAAUCCUAGGUACCAGGGAAGUUGUGGGGGGCACCCGUGAGGUGCUUCUGGGUGCUGUAGCUGGAGACACUGUCUGGGGCUGUGUCGAAGAGAAGUAGCCCCCGAGUGGGGUCCUGGGCGUGAGCGCGGAGGGGUCUGGCUCCGCAGACCCCGUAAAGUUACCCUUGUAGAUUUGGAAGAUCUUCCCCAGAGGACGCUUCGGCCCCAGAUGUGCUGAGCUCUGGUUUCGUCCCCUCUGGCUUUCCUUCCUGGCCAAGUGGCCACCCGGAACAAAGUGCCAACGUUAGGCCCCUGCUCAUUUAGACCGGUGAGAUCCAUGGAUGACCUUGAGGCUGUGAAGUUACUGCUCCAUGUCUUAAUGUAGUCUCCAAUCGUCUCCAAUCGUUGCUACUAUAAAUACUCAAGUUUCUUCUGGAGUGCUGUGAUGGUUUGUAUAUCCUUGGACCAGGGAGUGGCACCAUCUGAAGGUGUGGCCUUGUUGGAAUAGGUGUGACCUAGUUGGAAUGGGUGUGUCACUCUGGGUAUGGGUAUAAGAUCCUCACCCUAGUUGCCUGGAAGUCAGUCUUCCACUGGCAGCCUUUGGAUGAAGACAUAGAACUCUCAGUUCCUCCUGCACCAUGCCUGCCUGGAUACUGCCA